AUCCAGCUGACGAGUCCCGAAUAGGACGCAUCCUGGAU
rfam:Schistosoma mansoni strain Puerto Rico chromosome W, complete genome